UACAGAGGGGGCAAGCGUUGUUCGGAAUUACUGGGCGUAAAGGGCGCGUAGGCGGCCUUCUAAGUCGAACGUGAAAUCCCCGGGCUCAACCCGGGAACUGCGUCCGAUACUGGCAGGCUUGAAUCCGGGAGAGGGAUGCGGAAUUCCAGGUGUAGCGGUGAAAUGCGUAGAUAUCUGGAGGAACACCGGUGGCGAAGGCGGCAUCCUGGACCGGCAUUGACGCUGAAGCGCGAAAGCCAGGGGAGCAAACGGGG
rnacentral:rRNA from 1 species